rnacentral:rRNA from 1 species
UACGGAGGGUGCGAGCGUUGUUCGGAAUUACUGGGCGUAAAGCGCGUGUAGGCGGCCUUCUAAGUCUGGUGUGAAAGCCCGGGGCUCAACCCCGGAAGUGCAUUGGGUACGGGCAGACUAGAGUGUGGUAGGGGAGACUGGAAUUCCUGGUGUAGCGGUGAAAUGCGCAGAUAUCAGGAGGAACACCGAUGGCGAAGGCAGGUCUCUGGGCCGUAACUGACGCUGAGGAGCGAAAGCGUGGGGAGCAAACAGG